GCCGGUCCUCGGUCGUGGUCUCCGGGAGCGCAAGCUGCGGAGGCUUCCAUCGAAGACCGGC
ncrna:Acidothermus cellulolyticus 11B Actino-pnp RNA